GAUGAACGCUAGCGGGAGGCCUAACACAUGCAAGCCGAGCGGUAUUGUUUCUUCGGAAAUGAGAGAGCGGCGUACGGGUGCGUAACACGUGUGCAACCUGCCUUUAUCUGGGGGAUAGCCUUUCGAAAGGAAGAUUAAUACUCCAUAAUAUAUUGAACGGCAUCGUUUAAUAUUGAAAGCUCCGGCGGAUAGAGAUGGGCACGCGCAAGAUUAGCUAGUUGGUGAGGUAACGGCUCACCAAGGCGAUGAUCUUUAGGGGGCCUGAGAGGGUGAUCCCCCACACUGGUACUGAGACACGGACCAGACUCCUACGGGAGGCAGCAGUGAGGAAUAUUGGUCAAUGGGUGCAAGCCUGAACCAGCCAUCCCGCGUGAAGGACGACUGCCCUAUGGGUUGUAAACUUCUUUUGUAUAGGGAUAAACCUACCCUCGUGAGGGUAGCUGAAGGUACUAUACGAAUAAGCACCGGCUAACUCCAUG
rnacentral:rRNA from 1 species